GUACACAUGUCGUCGGAAUAAUAACUUUGGUCCAUGUGUUGGGUCGUGCUUAGGCUUCACUUGGUGAUAGUUGUGGAGCUCGAGUCCCGUGAUGGCUUGAUUUCUCUAGUCAUUAAUGACUUGGUUUCUUGAGUUUCUAGUGAAACUCAUUUUUUGCUGGAUUUUCAUUGCAUUUUUUGUUUCAAGUCAGAGAUGUUCCCACUACUACAGCAACGAUAAUUUUCAUAGAGACUCACCGCAUCAAGGUUUUGCUUCUUUGAUCGAUGAGAGGGUCAUGAGUACGUGUCAGGGUUUCUCCUUGCUCCCACUUAUCAACAGGGAGACUUGAUUCACGUAAUGUAGGCUCACUUGUAUUAGGUUUUACAUGCCUUUUGAGGCUUUCUCUUGUACAAGGCUAAGGUCUCAACUGCUUUCUUCGUUGUGUAACCGG
rnacentral:lncRNA from 1 species